ACACAUGCCAGUCUUNCGGCAGCACGGACUUCGGUCUGGUGGCGAGUGGCGAACGGGUGAGUAAUAUAUCGGAACAUACCCAGUAGUGGGGGAUAACUAUCCGAAAGGAUAGCUAAUACCGCAUACGAUCUGUGAAUGAAAGCAUGGGAUCUUCGGACCUUGUGCUAUUGGAAUGGCCGAUAUCUGAUUAGCUAGUUGGUAGGGUAAAAGCCUACCAAGGCGACGAUCAGUAGCUGGUCUGAGAGGACGACCAGCCACACUGGAACUGAGACNCGGUCCAGACUCCUACGGGAGGCAGCAGUGGGGAAUUUUGGACAAUGGGGGCAACCCUGAUCCAGCAAUGCCGCGUGAGUGAAGAAGGCCCUCGGGUUGUAAAGCUCUUUUGUCAGGGAAGAAACGGAGUUCUCUAAUAUAGGAUUCUAAUGACGGUACCUGAAGAAUAAGCACCGGCUAACUACGUGCCAGGCAGCCGCGGUAAUACGUAGGGUGCAAGCGUUAAUCGGAAUUACUGGGCGUAAAGCGUGCGCAGGCGGUUUUGUAAGUCUGAUGUGAAAUCCCCCGGGCCUCAACCUGGGAACUGCAUUGGAGACUGCAAGGCUAGAGUGUGUCA
rnacentral:rRNA from 1 species